AUGAACGCUGGCGGCGUGCCUAAUACCUGCAAGUCGAGCGAACAGACGAGGAGCUUGCUCCUCUGACGUUAGCGGCGGGCGGGUGAGUAACACGUGGAUAACCUACCUAUAAGACUGGGAUAACUUCGGGAAACCGGAGCUAAUACCGGAUAAUAUAUUGAACCGCAUGGUUCAAUAGUGAAAGACGGUUUUGCUGUCACUUAUAGAUGGAUCCGCGCCGCAUUAGCUAGUUGGUAAGGUAACGGCUUACCAAGGCAACGAUGCGUAGCCGACCUGAGAGGGUGAUCGGCCACACUGGAACUGAGACACGGUCCAGACUCCUACGGGAGGCAGCAGUAGGGAAUCUUCCGCAAUGGGCGAAAGCUUGACGGAGCAACGCCGCGUGAGUGAUGAAGGUCUUCGGAUCGUAAAACUCUGUUAUUAGGGAAGAACAAAUGUGUAAGUAACUAUGCACGUCUUGACGGUACCUAAUCAGAAAGCCACGGCUAACUACGUG
rnacentral:rRNA from 1 species